GUGCUCGCUUCGGCAGCACACAUACUAAAAUUGGAAUGAUACAGAGAAGAUUAGCAUGGCCCCUGCGCAAGGAUGACACACAAAUUCGUGGAGCGUUCCAUAUUUUU
ensembl:snRNA U6 U6 spliceosomal RNA